rnacentral:rRNA from 1 species
GAUGAACGCUGGCGGCGUGCUUAACACAUGCAAGUCGAACGGAAAGGCCCAAGCUUGCUUGGGUACUCGAGUGGCGAACGGGUGAGUAACACGUGGGUGAUCUGCCCUGCACUUCGGGAUAAGCCUGGGAAACUGGGUCUAAUACCGGAUAGGACGAUGGUUUGGAUGCCAUUGUGGAAAGUUUUUUCGGUGUGGGAUGAGCUCGCGGCCUAUCAGCUUGUUGGUGGGGUAAUGGCCUACCAAGGCGUCGACGGGUAGCCGGCCUGAGAGGGUGUACGGCCACAUUGGGACUGAGAUACGGCCCAAACUCCUACGGGAGGCAGCAGUGGGGAAUAUUGCACAAUGGGCGCAAGCCUGAUGCAGCGACGCCGCGUGGGGGAUGACGGCCUUCGGGUUGUAAACUCCUUUCGCUAGGGACGAAGCGUUUUUGUGACGGUACCUGGAGAAGAAGCACCGGCUAACUACGUG